UCAAACCCCCCCGAAAACCCCACAAACAACUAAGCAAACAAACAAGCAGAACAACAAUAACAAUAAAACCCAUAAAACAUCAACGUUCCAGUCGUUCCUCCCGUGCAGGAGGGCCGCCACUCUGGUCCGGUGAGCCCCCACCGCAUCCAGCUCUGGGGUCCCCAGCACAGGAAAGAUAUAAAACUGCUGGAACAAGUUCAGAGGAGGCCACCAAGUUGAUUAGAGGGAUGGAACAUUUUUCCUGUGAGGAAAGGCUUGGAGAAUUGGGAUUGUUCAUCCUGGAGAAGGGUCUGGGAUGACCCAGCUGUGGCCUUCAGAUCCUGAAGGGAGCUACAAGAAAGCUAUAGAGAAAUUUACACAAGGGCAUGUAGUGACAGGACAAAGGUGAGUGGAUUAAAACUGAAACAGAGUAAGUUUAGAUUAGAUAAUGGAAAGAAAGUCUUUACUGUGAGGGUGGUGAGACAUCUGCACAGUUUGCCCAGAGAAAUUGUGUCUGCCUCAUCCCUGACAGUCUGCAAGGCUGGGUUUGAUGGACCUCAGAGCAAUCUUGCCUAGUAGAAGGUGUCCCUGCCCAUGUGAGGAGGUUGGAAUUAAGUGAUCUUUAAGGUCCCUUCCAGCUCUAUGAUUCAAGCACCAGGAUUGACGGGUGUAUGGAUACACAUGGAGGAACAUGGCAGUGGGCUGGCUAUGAGGUGUCAGGGAGCAGGUGUGUCCAGGGUGGAGGGAAGGCUGAGGGGGUUGCUUCCCUCUCCAAGUUGAAGAUGCAGCUGAGGGGCCUCUGAGUGACCAAAAUACAUGUGCCUGGAAGGGGGAGAAGGUCAGCAUCUGAGCCAAAACCAAGAGGUUUACUGGCCCUGGAAAGAAUGCAGUGGCCAUUCUUCCACAGAACAAUGCUCAAGACCAAAGCAACAUAACCUUGCAGAUACACUUAGCAAAAAACCAACUCCUGCUCUACAUAAACUAACUCCAACCUAUCCAUCUGCCUGAGAUGUCAUAAGAUGGUGCAUAAGUUUUGAGUAAACCAUUUUCAUUCAUCCCACGGGUUUGUAGACAGCUUGUGUAUUUUCCUAGCAGUGUGUUUUUGGGAGUAGCCUUUCCUUGGGCCUAAACUCAGAACAGGCUGAAUUGCUGGCAUGUCUUGAAAAGACAGAUCACAGCAGCUGACUUGAGAUGCUAAACUCCAUUAAGACUUCUUGUCUAAAGCCUUAGAAGCAAAAUCAGUUUAUUUGCUAAUCUGAGUUAAAUAUCUGUGUAUGAGGCAAAUGCAAGGUGAUGUGGUUUAAUAUAAUCCAGUGUGAAGCAGGUUAAGUAGAUGACUUGAUGCUUGCUGGAGGCUAAGAGAUUUGCUGCUGUGACACUGCUAGCAUGUGGGAACAUGUCAAAUUGCAAUCACUCCCUUACAUGGCCAUGUAUCUUCAAGCAACAAGUGAGGUAGGAGAAAUAUUUUUAGGUGUUGCCAUUACAUUUAAAAUGUCUGAAAGAACUUAGGUGAGACACAUUAUCAAAAUGUCACUCUAUUUAGAGAAAUGGCAAUAGUUACUAACUAUUACCAAUAGUUAGGGACGAGCUGGA